rnacentral:rRNA from 1 species
UACGUAGGGUGCAAGCGUUAAUCGGAAUUACUGGGCGUAAAGCGUGCGCAGGCGGUGAUGUAAGACAGGUGUGAAAUCCCCGGGCUUAACCUGGGAACUGCAUUUGUGACUGCAUCGCUGGAGUGCGGCAGAGGGGGAUGGAAUUCCGCGUGUAGCAGUGAAAUGCGUAGAGAUGUGGAGGAAUACCGAUGGCGAAGGCAGCCCCCUGGGAUGACACUGACGCUGAAGCACGAAAGCGUGGGGAGCAAACAGG